rnacentral:rRNA from 1 species
UAGAGUUUGAUCCUGGCUCAGGAUGAACGCUGGCGGCGUGCUUAACACAUGCAAGUCGAACGGUGAAGCCUGCUAUUUAUAGUGGGUGGAUCAGUGGCGGACUGGUGAGUAACACGUAGGUGACCUGCCCCAAAGAGGAGAAUAACUUGACGAAAGUGAAGCUAAUACUCCAUGUGGUCAAUCAUUCGGUUGAUUGAUUAAAGCUAAGGCGCUUUGGGAGGGGCUUGCGGCCCAUCAGCUAGUUGGUAGGGUAAAGGCCUACCAAGGCGAAGACGGGUAGCUGGUCUGAGAGGACGAUCAGCCACAAUGGCACUGAAACACGGGCCAUACUCCUACGGGAGGCAGCAGUGAGGAAUAUUGCACAAUCGACGCAAGUCGGAUGCAGCAACGCCGCGUGGACGAUGAAGGCCUUCGGGUUGUAAAGUCCUUUUAAGAGGGACGAGGAAGGACGGUACCUCUUGAAUAAGUCUCGGCUAACUACGUGCCAGCAGCCGCGGUAACACGUAGGAGGCGAGCGUUAUCCGGAUUUAUUGGGCGUAAAGCGCAUGCAGGUGGCUAGGUAAGUCGGGUGUGAAAGCCCCGGACUUAAUCCGGGGAGGUCAUUCGAUACUGCUUGGCUUGAGAGCGGGAGAGGGAAGUGGAAUUCUCGGUGUAGUGGUGAUAUGCGUAGAUAUCGAGAGGAACACCAGUGGCGAAGGCGGCUUCCUGGCCCGUAUCUGACACUAAGAUGCGAAAGCGUGGGUAGCAAACGGACUUAGAUACUCCGGUAGUCCACGCUGUAAACGAUGGGUACUAGGUGUAGGGGGUGUAAAACUCUCUGUGCCAUAGUUAACGCACUAAGUACCCCGCCUGGGGACUACGGUCGCAAGGCUAAAACUCAAAGGAAUUGACGG